rnacentral:rRNA from 1 species
AAUCAACGCUGGCGGCGUGCCUCAGACAUGCAAGUCGAACGCGAAAGUCCCCUUCGGGGGGCAAGUAGAGUGGCGCACGGGUGAGUAACACGUAGGUAAUCUACCUUCGGAUGGGGAAUAACAAUCGGAAACGGUUGCUAAUACCGCAUAAUGCAGCGGCACCUAAUGGUGACAGUUGUUAAAGCGGGGGAUCGAAAGACCUCGCGUCUGAAGAGGAGCCUGCGGCGGAUUAGCAGUUGGUAAGGUAACGGCUUACCAAGGCAACGAUCCGUAGCCGGCCUGAGAGGGCGGUCGGCCACACUGACACUGACAUACGGGUCAGACUCCUACGGGAGGCAGCAGUCGGGAAUUUGGGCAAUGGGCGAAAGCCUGACCCAGCAACGCCGCGUGAAGGAUGAAAUCCCUCGGGAU